GCCUGGAUGGCUCAGUAGAGCAUGUGACUCUUGAUCUCAGGGUUAUGAGUUCAAGCCCCAUGUUGGGUG
rnacentral:tRNA from 1 species